AGAACGAACGCUGGCGGCAUGCCUAAUACAUGCAAGUCGAACGAGAUCUUCGGAUCUAGUGGCGCACGGGUGCGUAACGCGUGGGAAUCUACCCUUGGGUUCGGAAUAACAGUUGGAAACGACUGCUAAUACCGGAUGAUGACGAAAGUCCAAAGAUUUAUCGCCCAGGGAUGAGCCCGCGUAGGAUUAGCUAGUUGGUGAGGUAAAGGCUCACCAAGGCUACGAUCCUUAGCUGGUCUGAGAGGAUGAUCAGCCACACUGGGACUGAGACACGGCCCAGACUCCUACGGGAGGCAGCAGUAGGGAAUAUUGGACAAUGGGGGGCAACCCUGAUCCAGCAAUGCGCGUGAGUGAUGAAGGCCUUAGGGUUGUAAAGCUCUUUUACCCGAGAUGAUAAUGACAGUAUCGGGAGAAUAAGCUCCGGCUAACUCCGUGCCAGCAGCCGC
rnacentral:rRNA from 1 species